UGCCAGCCGCCGCGGUAAUACGGAGGGGGCUAGCGUUGCUCGGAAUUACUGGGCGUAAAGCGCGCGUAGGCGGCGCACCUAGUGAGGCGUGAAAUCCCCGGGCUUAACCCGGGAACUGCGUUUCAUACUGGUGUGCUAGAAUCCGAGAGAGGGUAGUGGAAUUCCCAGUGUAGAGGUGAAAUUCGUAGAUAUUGGGAAGAACACCAGUGGCGAAGGCGGCUACCUGGCUCGGUAUUGACGCUGAGGUGCGAAAGCGUGGGGAGCGAACAGGAUUAGAUA
rnacentral:rRNA from 1 species